rnacentral:rRNA from 1 species
UACGUAGGGUGCGAGCGUUAAUCGGAAUUACUGGGCGUAAAGCGUGCGCAGGCGGUUCGUUAAGUUCGUUGUGAAAGCCCCGGGCUCAACCUGGGAACUGCAAUGGAAACUGGCGACCUAGAGUGCGGUAGAGGGAAGUGGAAUUUCCGGUGUAGCGGUGAAAUGCGUAGAUAUCGGAAGGAACAUCAGUGGCGAAAGCGACUUCCUGGACCAGUACCGACGUUCAGGCACGAAAGCGUGGGGAGCAAACAGG